rnacentral:rRNA from 1 species
AUAUCAAUAAGCGGAGGAAAAGAAACUAACAAGGAUUCCCCUAGUAACGGCGAGUGAAGAGGGAAAAGCUCAAAUUUUGAAUCUGACGUUUUUGGCGUCCGAGUUGUAAUCUAGAGAAGUGUUUUCCGUACCGGACCGUGCACAAGUUCCCUGGAACGGGGCGUCAUAGAGGGUGAGAAUCCCGUAUAUGGCACGGACUACCGGCACUCUGUGAUACACUCUCAACGAGUCGAGUUGUUUGGGAAUGCAGCUCAAAAUGGGUGGUAAAUUCCAUCUAAAGCUAAAUAUAGGCGAGAGACCGAUAGCGAACAAGUACCGUGAGGGAAAGAUGAAAAGCACUUUGGAAAGAGAGUGAAACAGUAC